rnacentral:rRNA from 1 species
ACAGCGGGGGAUGCUUAGUACGGCGAGUGAAGCGGCAAAAGCUCAAAUUUGAAAUCUGGUACCUUCGGUGCCCGAGUUGUAAUUUGGAGAGGGCAACUUUGGGGCCGUUCCUUGUCUAUGUUCCUUGGAACAGGACGUCAUAGAGGGUGAGAAUCCCGUGUGGCGAGGAGUGCGGUUCUUUGUAAAGUGCCUUCGAAGAGUCGAGUUGUUUGGGAAUGCAGCUCUAAGUGGGUGGUAAAUUCCAUCUAAAGCUAAAUAUUGGCGAGAGACCGAUAGCGAACAAGUACAGUGAUGGAAAGAUGAAAAGAACUUUGAAAAGAGAGUGAAAAAGUACGUGAAAUUGUUGAAAGGGAAGGGCAUUUGAUCAGACAUGGUGUUUUGUGCCCUCUGCUCCUUGUGGGUAGGGGAAUCUCGCAUUUCACUGGGCCAGCAUCAGUUUUGGUGGCAGGAUAAAUCCAUAGGAAUGUAGCUUGCCUCGGUAAGUAUUAUAGCCUGUGGGAAUACUGCCAGCUGGGACUGAGGACUGCGACGUAAGUCAAGGAUGCUGGCAUAAUGGUUAUAUGCCGCCCGUCUG